GUUCGGUGAUCGACAGCUACACACGGAAGCCGUAUCGUCCUCAUUAAUUUCAGGUUUCCAAGAAUUCUACGUACCGACAGCGAAACAUCCCGGCUUUCUUUUUCUACAUAUACUUUGGCCUUCGUCCUGUGUACAAGCUCAAAAAAAAAGAAGAAUCAUUCUCUUCAUCAUUACGGGGCAGGAUGCUCAUCAUACAAAGAACCAGCAAACAUUCCGUUCAAAUAAAAAAAGAAUCAUCCUCUUCACCAUCCUAGGGCAGGAUACCCAUCCUGCAAGCAUCAACGAAGAUUUUAAAACAUCAUUGCAACCGUGCGUGAAGCAAUGAAUAAAUCGAGUGUUGUAUCGCUAAAAUAAAAACCAAAAGAUCGCGAAAUAGAAGCAGUGCUUGCUCGUUUGCUUAAAUUAUACCGCGUUUCGCGAUUUAAAUUAAUUUCAAGUGUUCUUGUGUCGACUGCGUGCAAUGCAGUCAGUUAUAGAGUCAGUGUUUGCUCGUACAAAGUGACUUUAACAGUCACGUAGACUGUACUUAUAAAAGAUGCUAGAUUUUCGCGAAGUAAAUUCAGUGACCGUUCGUUAAUAAAUAACUACCGCGAAUUAGAGUCAGUGCAUCACUGAAGAGGAUCUCGACCAACUUCGGUGUCUACCUACCUCAUUUUCAACCAGCUACAUAUCAUCCAACCUCAAUGUCGACCUAAAUCGCGGACGAGUGUUUUGGAGCCACCGUAGAACUUCUUAAGUAGUGAGUAAAUAAAUUUUAAGUCCCUCCAGUGCUCAAUCAUGUCGAGGACGAAAGGUCCGAAUCGGCACGAGUAACUGGUUGUAAUUUUUUAUAUAAAUUAUUGACGAGCAUGACCGUGAGUAACUCCUCUUUUGGAUUUACUCGCGAGUGGUAUAUUUUUAAUCGCCUGUGUUUUCAUUGUUUAUAUCUGUUUUAUUAGUUUAGGAUAGGGUCUUCUUGUUUCAUAGAUUAGAUUAAUUAAUAGUGUAAUUAAUAAGCACUUUUUUAUUCGUGUUUGCCCGCGAUAUUAGUAAUGAAAUCGGAUAUUAAUUUAUCCGAUUUCGUCAAAAAAAGCGUGUAAUGUGAUCUACGUUAUAUGCAUUGCUUCGUAUUUAGUCUAUUUAAUCGCGAUUUAUUUCGAUAUAUCGAUAUAGAUGUAGUGAAAAAUGAACAAGAAGACAAACGCGACGGAUAGAUUCUGGAAGAUAAGUGAUGGAUCAUGAUUUUGUUCUUUAAUUAGAAAUUAGUCACUUGUUAAAAGGAAUCGUCCGAGGUAUUUUGAUUAUUGUUACAUGAAAAAUUAAUGAAAUAUUCAAUCUAUUUUGUUCAUAAAAGAAAAGUCUCAAUAAAGUCAUUGUUUUUGAAAGAAAAAAGUCGAGUAGAAUCAUUGCUAAUAAAAAACAAAGAGACUUGUAGAGUCAUAGUUCGUAGGCCCUAGAAUAAGUUAAUCAUUUUUUAGAUCAGGAUUUUCAGCUUCUAACAAACUAAUUCCCGUUUCUCCCCCCCAUACUUUCUGCGUUCUCAUUUAUGCGUGUGCCCAGGUGUUACUCGUAUGGGUGAGAAACUGUUAGUAUGGGUUUAGUUUUAAGUUUUCCCAUAUUGGCGACUGUCAUAGCGUUAGUGAUUGCGCACGAUGUACCUUGUAUCUGUGUGUUCGUGCUAGGUGGUGCAUUGUACAUCGUUUCGCGAUUAUUUAUAAAUAAAUACGAAUAAAACAAUUACACUAAUAGAUUAUUAUUUAAAAUACUAUACUAAUAUAUUAUUAUUCAUAUCGUUUUGCAUAGUAGAGUCAGCACAUAUUGUAUGGAAAUAUUCGUAUAUUACUAGUAUGCAUAUAUAUACUAGUAUAUACUAGUAUUUUUUGCUUUAGUCUUUUACGCAAUAAUCAUUAGCCUUGACAGUCGAUUACAGCAAUUGGUACGUACUCCUAAUAUAUUAGAAAAAAUACGCGUUUGAGCUAGGGUGUCGGAGGUGCCCCGGGGCAUACUCUCUAGUGUAGGCUUUUGCACCCUGGCGGUAUGUGAGAGAAUCGUGGAGUGUGUGUGUUGGAACGAAUGUCUUGCUAUUUUUUAAAUAUAGGUUAUAGGCAGGCAGGUAGCAUACCUUUUUCUGUGUGACUGUGUAUUUAAUUUUAAGUAGGUAGGACCGGAUACAAUGCGUUCUAAUUUCCACUCAGAAGUGGAAUGUUCCGUAUCCGCAUAUUAGGCAAAGUUUCAGCAAAUUUUACAAUUAUUACAGCAUGUUUGUGUCUUUUUUUUCCCUCAUAUUUUGCUGAUGCUCUGUAUUGCAAGAUAUACGUAUCAGUAUCGAACAGUUUAAAAGUCUUUGCAUUUGUUUAAAAAUUUCUUUCCUUCGAAUUAGCAAAGAUUUUUGAACGUGUUGGAUACUUAGUAUUAAGUAUAUUAACACUUUGCACUCUCUUUUGUGAUUUGUUUUUUAUAAAGUAUAUAUCAUUUUU